rnacentral:rRNA from 1 species
AUUGAACGCUGGCGGCAGGCUUAACACAUGCCAGUCGAGCGAGCGGCGGACGGGUGAGUCAUGUCUGGGAAACUGCCUGAUGGAGGGGGAUAACUCCUGGAAACGGUAGCUAAUACCGCAUACCAUCAGAUGUGCCCAGAUGGGAUUAGCUAGUAGGUGGGGUAAUGGAUCCACUAGGCCACGACCCCUAGCUGGUCUGAGAGGAUGACCAGCCACACUGGAACUGAGACACGGUCCAGACGCCUACGGGAGGCAGCAGUGGGGAAUAUUGCACAAUGGGCGCAAGCCUGAUGCAGCCAUGCCGCGGGUGUGAAGAAGGCCUUCGGGUUGUAAAGCACUUUCAGCGAGGAGGCGUUACUCGCAGAAGAAGCACCGGCUAACUCCGUGCCAGCAGCCGCGGUAAUAC